rnacentral:tRNA from 1 species
GCCUGUAUAGCUCAGCUGGUCAGAGCACCCGCUUCACACGCGGGAGGUCCGGGGUUCAAAGCCCUGUGCAGGCA